GAUGAACGCUGGCGGCGUGCCUAAUACAUGCAAGUCGAGCGAACGGACGAGAAGCUUGCUUCUCUGAUGUUAGCGGCGGACGGGUGAGUAACACGUGGAUGACCUACCUAUAAGACUGGGAUAACUUCGGGAAACCGUAGCUAAUACCGGAUAAUAUUUUGAACCGCAUGGUUCAAAAGUGAAAGACGGUCUUGCUGUCACUUAUAGAUGGAUCCGCGCUGCAUUAGCUAGUUGGUAAGGUAACGGCUUACCAAGGCAACUAUGCAUAGCCGACCUGAGAGGGUCGUCGCCCAGCCGGGCACUGAGACAGGUCCCCGACUCCUACGGGAAGACGCAGUCGGGACUCUUCCGCAAGGGGGGAGAGCCUGACGGAGGAAAGUCGCGUGAGGCAUGAUGGUCUUCUGAUCGUAAAGCUCUGUUAUUAGUGGAGUAGAUAUGUGUAAGUAACCGGGCACAUCAUGACGGUACCGAAUCAAAAAGCCACGGCUAACUACGUG
rnacentral:rRNA from 1 species